rnacentral:rRNA from 1 species
GACGUAGGGCGCGAGCGUUGUCCGGAUUUAUUGGGCGUAAAGAGCUCGUAGGCGGCUCGUUGCGUCGGCUGUGAAAACCCGCAGCUCAACUGUGGGCUUGCAGCCGAUACGGGCGGGCUAGGAUUCGGUAGGGGAGACUGGAAUUCCUGGUGUAGCGGUGAAAUUCGUAGAUAUCAAGCGGAACACCGGUGGCGAAGGCGGCCUUCUGGACAGUGACUGACGCUGAGACGCGAAAGCGUGGGGAGCAAACAGG